rnacentral:sRNA from 12 species
CCCUAGCCCUGAUGGUAGCGGCAUCCUUUUGUUUUGCGCCGGAAGGAAGCAAAACAAAAGAUACAGCGGACAGCAGGAAGAAGC